UAUCUACUCCCUCCGUCUGAAAAUACUUGUCCGAGGAAUGGAUGUAUCUAGAUGUAUUUUAGUUCGAGAUACAUCCAUUUGUAUCCAUUUCUACGACAAGUAUUUCCGGACGGAGGGAGUAUGUG
rfam:Triticum urartu cultivar G1812 contig235427, whole genome shotgun sequence.